AGUGAACGCUGGCGGUAGGCCUAACACAUGCAAGUCGAACGGCAGCACAGUAAGAGCUUGCUCUUACGGGUGGCGAGUGGCGGACGGGUGAGGAAUACAUCGGAAUCUACUUUUUCGUGGGGGAUAACGUAGGGAAACUUACGCUAAUACCGCAUACGACCUACGGGUGAAAGCAGGGGAUCUUCGGACCUUGCGCGAUUGAAUGAGCCGAUGUCGGAUUAGCUAGUUGGCGGGGUAAAGGCCCACCAAGGCGACGAUCCGUAGCUGGUCUGAGAGGAUGAUCAGCCACACUGGAACUAAGACACGGUCCGGACUCCUACGGGAGGCAGCAGUGGGGAAUAUUGGACAAUGGGCGCAAGCCUGAUCCAGCCAUACCGCGUGGGUGAAGAAGGCCUUCGGGUUGUAAAGCCCUUUUGUUGGGAAAGAAAAGCAGCAGGUUAAUACCCCGCUGUUCUGACGGUACCCAAAGAAUAAGCACCGGCUAACUUCGUG
rnacentral:rRNA from 1 species